GACGAACGCUGGCGGCGUGCCUAAUACAUGCAAGUUGAGCGCUGAAGGUUGGUACUUGUACCGACUGGAUGAGCAGCGAACGGGUGAGUAACGCGUGGGGAAUCUGCCUUUGAGCGGGGGACAACAUUUGGAAACGAAUGCUAAUACCGCAUAAAAACUUUAAACACAAGUUUUAAGUUUGAAAGAUGCAAUUGCAUCACUCAAAGAUGAUCCCGCGUUGUAUUAGCUAGUUGGUGAGGUAAAGGCUCACCAAGGCGAUGAUACAUAGCCGACCUGAGAGGGUGAUCGGCCACAUUGGGAAUGAGACAAGGCCCAAACUCCUACGGGAGGCAGCAGUAGGGAAUCUUCGGCAAUGGACGAAAGUCUGACCGAGCAACGCCGCGUGAGUGAAGAAGGUUUUCGGAUCGUAAAACUCUGUUGGUAGAGAAGAACGUUGGUGAGAGUGGAAAGCUCAUCAAGUGACGGUAACUACACAGAAAGGGACGGCUAACUACGUG
rnacentral:rRNA from 1 species